UUAUUUUUUCUGGUUCUUUCUUUUAGGUAGAUUAUCACUGAGUUUUUAAGCAUAAGUUAUAAAUUCAGUUGGAGUUUAAUACAUAUCGUGAAAAUCAUCAAAAUCUUUUGAAUUAGGAGGUUCAAAAUCCUGUUCUAUCGGGGAGUGCAUUAUCUUUGAUUCUCAAUAUACCUGAGAUAAUGUCAGAAUAUAUGAAAUAGACUAAACUAAAAUAAUAUCUAAGAAAGUUAUAAAAACGAUUUAAAGUAGAGAAGCACCUCUUUUCAAAUUAGCGUAUAAAGAGGUGAACGUUGUUGUGAAGAUUAUAGAAAGUUGUAGUGAAAAGAAAUAAUAAAACGAAGGUUCCCAGUGAAUCAGAAGAAAUAAAACUGUUUUCAGCAAACACCAAGUGGAUCGACACAUGUACAAAAAAAAAUUCUUCUAAAACAACCCUUUUCUACACAGUUCUAGCUUUUAAAAUAAUCACCUUUAAAUGCUCAACAAUUUCACUUAUACAAACAUUGGCCAAAAUAUGGAACCAAUAAACGACAUUAUAGACCAACAAUCACUACAGCGACAGUUGGUGGAAGAUAGCAGCAACGACUUAAUGGUAGACCAUCGUGUGUUGGUUGGCGGUUCAGCUUCACCGGCUUCUGUACUUUCUGCACAUGAUACAAUGGUAGAUGAAACUGAAAUAAGUAGUUCUUCGGGCGUGGUUAUGGGAAGGGGUGUGUCACAUCAAUCAGCUUUGCUAAUGAUAGGCGACAGUCCUCCAUCGCAUCAAGAUGCCGUAGAGCCUCGAAACGUAUGUAAUCAAAACUAUAGUGCAUCGCAUCCUCUGGAACAUCAGCGCUUGGUUCUUGGAAGUCCAAUACAAAUUUUGGAGACAGACACAGCUAUAAAUGGUAUUUUAGGAGGCUCCUCAAGUUCGAAUGGGUCAAAUGGACAUAUCAUUAAUGUUAAAAAAAGGAAAAAAUUAAUACUCUUAGGCACCCAUCAUCAAAAAAUUAAUAACGUUAACAAUAACAACAAUAAUCACAUUUACAACAGCGAACACAAGAGUUGCAGUCUUAAUCUUGAUGUUAUUAUGGAUGCCAUGAGUGGUACAGAACAGCAAAACUAUGGUCAACCGGAAAAUAUAACUGGAGAGAAGGUGCGUAUGCAACGACCCCUCUUGCAGCAACACAAUCAAAUGUUACAUACGCAAACGUUCGAUACUGAAGGUCAUCACUCCAGCAGCCAUCACCAUCAUGACCAUAACUUGCAGCUUAACGAACAUCAUUCACCCGACAUAUUGAGUCGUCAUUUGCAUGAGCAUGGGCGACAAAUCGAUACCGCUGUGGGUACUACGAAUAUCGAGUCACUUUCAGUUAUUGUUCAAGCGCAAGAUGACUCUCGUGACUCUGCAUCACAAAUUUUAAGUCCCGAAUUGGGCGUUGUAGUAGGUGCUGAAAAUUCUUUAGAGACGAACUCUUAUCAGACACUGUCGUGCGUAGUGAAUGAGGAACGCUUAUCGCCCGCUGCCUUUAGCCCAAAUUCUGCUUACGCGACUUUGACCCCUUUACAACCCUUGCCUCCAAUUUCCACAAUGUCUGAAAAAUUUGCUUACGGUGGUCGUAUAACAACUACUGAAGUUAGCACCCAAGGAAACACCACCAAUACUCAAAACGAAGGUAAUGAAGAAAAUAAUAAUAACAAUAAUAAUAUUGUGAGCAAUAGUACAUCAAAUGCCGGACAAUAUGAAGUCAUGCCAGCAACACAUCCUCAUGUACAACAACACAAUCAUCAGCAGCAACAACCACACUAUCACCGGCAAAAUUUAUGCUCCCUAAAUUUAGGCGGUUUAAGUGGUAGCGAGCCUUCAUCUUAUUUAACAUACGAUAAGUUACCUUCAAUGUGUAUGUCAAUAACACCCCCUCCUAACUUUACUAGUUCACCUACGCACACUCUAGCUGGAAUAGUAGUUACUUGUGAUUUGCCUGCACAUUCGCCUGUCGGUGAUUGUGGUCCGCUUUCACCUCAAUCAACAUACAGCCAAUCAACAGAUGUAAACUCGCCAUCAUCAUUAACUCCCUGCAUUUGCAGAAAUCCCCAUCAUCCUUGUGGAGACACCAGUAGUGAAAGCAGAAGCAACAGAGUAAACAAAAGCCCAGUUGAUUGCGAAAGAAGUUCAAGGCGGCAUGUUAUUUGUCUUUCACCAGUAACUGAGCAAGUUAUCGUCACCGGUUACGAAUCACCAUUUGGGUGUCAUCAGCGAGAAUUACUUGUUAAUACAAUUUCCUCAACUACAUCUUCUAAUUCAGGAGGCCGAAAUUCAACUCAUUUUCAAUUUCAUCCACACAGUCCAGCUACUAUAAGCUCUAACUCGUUGUCAGCGAGUUCACUGCACUCACCCGGUGCUACGGUGGCAACUUUAGCGCAAAUGGCUAAUAGCACAAUGACCCCUUUAUCAGCAAAUGAUGGAAAUGGCGGUUUGGUUAACGUAGCCCAGAUAUCAAUCGAUCACGAGCCUCUUUUAGUAUCAAUCCCACCUUCAUCUUCUUCGCCAUCAACACACCACCAGUUAGAGCUAGCGACAGUAAAACCGACAGGAACAACAACUUCUGCCGCGAUGACGUCUAAAAAUAACGGGACCUUAUCAACCCCACAUAUAGCUUUGGUAACCAGAAAUACUUUGGCAUUGAAUCGAAAUGUUUGUGAUGUAGUCACUUCAGAAAAUAAUCGAACGGCAAUGGAACAUAAUUUGAAUUCACAAAUCUGUCUUUCACAUUCUCCCCACGAACAUACGAAAUUAUUAUCGUACGACUGUGGAGAAACCGAUGAUAGCGGUACAAUUCGGGAAUCAGAAAUCCAAGUUCUGCAGCAGGAGCAACAGCAUUUCAAUGAUAUGCAAAAGAGCUCAAAGAUUCAUUCAAAGCAUCUGGGCACAGAAAACAACGACGACGUUUCCACUAGUGUCAACAGCACUAACUUAAACGGUGAUACCGAAGAGAUUAAUACCAAGGAACUGGCGCAGCGUAUAUCUGCCGAGUUGAAGCGUUAUAGUAUUCCGCAAGCAAUUUUUGCCCAACGCGUUUUAUGUCGUUCCCAAGGUACACUGUCUGAUUUAUUGCGCAAUCCGAAGCCAUGGUCCAAAUUGAAAUCAGGACGAGAAACAUUUAGGCGUAUGUUCAAAUGGCUACAAGAGCCAGAAUUUCAGCGAAUGUCAGCUUUGCGGAUGGCAGCAGCACAAAUUCCCCAACGUAACAACUCUUCGCUUAGCAGUGCUAUCAAUAAUCCGAUUCUAAACCACAAUCUCGUUAACAAAAGUUCAAGCGGUACCGCUAUAUCUGGUAUUGUAACCACACUAUCUCGGCGAAAAGAUGAGCCACUUCAAAUAGAACAUAUGCCACAACCAAAAAAGCCACGGUUGGUCUUUACCGAUUUGCAAAGACGUACUUUGCAAGCGAUAUUUAAAGAAACUAAACGACCUUCCAAAGAAAUGCAGGUAACUAUUGCUCGUCAAUUAGGUUUGGAACCAACUACGGUUGGAAAUUUUUUCAUGAACGCUCGUCGCCGUUCCAUGGAUAAAUGGCGAGACGAUGAUGGCGGUGGAAUUAACGUCAAAAAUUCUGCCGAUCAGCAUAAUAGUAAACAUGAUACUAACAAUGGAAAUCUAUUAAAUAAAAAUAGCAAUAAUCGCAACAAUAGAAAUAAUCAUCUAAGUCCUCAAAGUCUUCACUUACAAUUAUCGACAUCGUUAUCUCCUGGUAACCGACAUUCGUUAGAGUUGAACGAUGAUGGCGACAUGGAUUUGGAUUUGGACCAUAACGAUUUUCACUUGGGUGGUGACAACGACGAUGACCAUCACAAAUCCGAUGACAUGUUGUGACACAAUGUAGAAAGUCUGAUUUUAAAAUUGGAAUUCUAUGUAAACCAACUUCAGCUGCUGCAUGAUUAUGAAGACCGUCUGCAUAAUUUUAUUAAUAUGCAUGGUCAUGAAUUUUCCGAGCAUAUUUUGAGUAAAAAGAAAUAUAUGAGUGCUUUACACAUUCUUAAGCGACCGCUGGAAAAUAAGAGUAUGGUUGUCAAGCUCGAAAUGGCCGAAAGAAAAAAACCGGAGUAUACCAUAAAUUUAACCCCAAAGAAAAGUGUAAAAUUCGUAGGGUUUGAAAGAGCAAAUAUUCGAUUCGAACUUUAUUUCAGAAUCACGAGCCAGGCACUCAAACCUUUUAAGAUUGCACCUUAUUCGUUUGUCGUACCCACCAAAUUGCUUUUCCAAAUCUUAGUGUUAGGAAGAUUACUCCUGGUUAAAUUUUCGAAGGGCCAAGAUAUAACGUUGAUAGAGUUCGAAUUAACUUUAAAUUCAAUUAAACAUGGGCAUACAAUAUACUUGCACUUAAAAAACUUUUUAUGUCAUCAAGCAGAUCAGAUAAAGAUGAAGCAGCAUAAAAAUGUAAUAGAUUAUUCUCGGAAAAUUGUGGCCAAAAAUCCGAUAAACAGAAAAAAGGGGCUGUCCAAAUAUAUAUUGCUAUUAUCAUCAACUGGAAGUGUUUAUCACAAUUACUUUGCUGCUUCUGUUGAUAACCUAAGCAUCAGUUCACUCACACAAGCAACCUUCACCUUUAUCUUCUGUUAACUGGUGCUAACUUUUCGCUAAACCAAAAUAUUUAUAGUAAAUCACCAGCGUUUCGUGAGAAUGCAAAAAAUAAGCGCAUAAAUAAAUAUAGUCUAUAUAAGGCAUUUAAAUUGCAUGCACAUAUAAAUACAAAUGGAAAUAAUCCAAUUUCAACCGUUGUAAUUCGAUUUGAUAAAAACGAUUCAACAAUUUGGGGACUUGCAAAACACACAACUCAUGUAAGAUGAAAAAAGUAGUGCAGUGUGCGGUGAGGAAGGACCUGUAAAAACUUCCAGUAAUACCUAAUUAUCAUAUUUGUUUAUUGAGUGCAAGAAGAAGAGAUAGAAUUAAAAGGCUGCAUCAACGCGGAAAACAGGUAUCGCAUAAAAGAGAAUAUUCACUUACCUUACCCUAUCCUAAUUUUCCUGUGUAUAUCUUCUAACUAAAUCAUUGAUGUUCUGACUUUAUCCUCUCCUUAUAUUUUCGCCACCUGAAGUUGUGUUGUUAAUUUUUCUUUUUUUGCUUUUGCUAAAUUAAAUUUUACUCCAAGGGUCACACUUACUCUUAGAAACUCUUAGUGGUGAGUUUAACACAAGAACAACACUAACGGCAACUAAUAAUAACGAUGAUGCUAACAAAGUAAAUAUUAUAACAAUAAAGGAUGAAAGAAAAUGCUGCUGAAACGAAGUAAAAACCAGUCUUUAAGUUGAAGGAUAAGUGCUUUAGGUUAAGCCCUUAGUGGUAGCUAUCACCAGCGAAGGCUCUAAGGAAAUCCAUAAAAUAAAGCGACCAGCUACUCCGCUGAACCGAUCAUAAAGAGGUCUGCGAUGAUUUUAACGUUUUCUUUGGAGCUUCGGCAGUGCGAUUAUAUUGUAUAAACAAAAUAAUAAUGUAGUUGAAAUAACUGCAAAUUAGGCGAUUUCAUGAACUAAUUUCGUUUCAAGCUUUAGGUUUUCAUGUCGUGCACUUGCAAGUCAACUUCAACCUCUUUUUUGGAGAAAACUAAUGUAAAGAAAGUAAAAUUUUAUUUUUGGCAAGAUCGGCCAUCAAAUUUCCUACACCACUUGACUUGGUGUAAUUCUUCACAUACUUUUGUCAUAAAAUACGAUAAAUUGUUGUUAUCUAAAGGGUUUCUUUCGUGAAAACUCUUAUAUGAAAUACAUUUAUAUGUGAUAUCACUAUCUUGGAUUAACAGAAAUUUAGAAACGAAAUUUUCCAAAUUCAUUUCCACAUUAUUUAUAUAGCAUUUUUUUUAAUGGGGAAUUAUAAAGAGGAUAGCGCAAUCGGAACGAUUUUCAAUAGAGCUCGUCCUGCAACGAAAACAUACUAAUAUGUCCUAUUUUAACGAAACAUACCUUCGCGACUUGUAGAUCGAACGCAUUAACACGAACACAAACGUCAAAGGGAGGGUUGGACAGAUAUGUCUAAUUAGGCAGUGAUUCUGAGUCGAUUUAUGCAGGGAAAGGUGAGUCUACUUCAAAUCCUUCUGGGUGUUUGACACAUCCGCGCAAACGUAAUAUACACUUACAAGGUAUACAAUGCAAGGUAUGACAAACUGGGUGUGUGAAAGCUUAUAUAUAUUUAUUUUCACACAGCACUUCAUGUACAUCGCGAAUAUUAAAAUUUUGUAUAAUAUACGUGCCCAAUAUAAACAAUAUUUAUGUCAACUACUUUAGAUAAACAGUUACUUUUAGCAACUUAGUUUAUUAUAUAUUUUAAGUAUUAUCUAUUGACCACACGUCGAAAGAAAAUGUUAGAUAUAUUGAAGAAUUUGUUAUCCCCAGCCAACUACUGUAGAAAUUUUAUAGUUUUCGUAGUUGGGUUUUAAACAAACUAUUAGAAAUGUUUUUCUUCAUAUGUAUCCUGUUGGGAUCCAACAAUAUACGGUUCAUUUCAUUGUAUAUACGGUAUU